GACAGAGGGUGCAAACGUUGUUCGGAAUUACUGGGCGUAAAGCGCGUGUAGGCGGUUAUGCAAGUCGGGUGUGAAAGCCCGGAGCUCAACUCCGGAAGUGCAUUCGAUACUGCGUAGCUAGAGUACUGGAGAGGAUGGUGGAACUCUCGGUGUAGAGGUGAAAUUCGUAGAUAUUAGGAAGAACACCGGUGGCGAAGGCGGCCCACUGGUCCGGUACUGACGCUGAGGUGCGAAAGCGUGGGGAGCAAACAGG
rnacentral:rRNA from 1 species